GAUGAACGCUGGCGGCGUGCUUAACACAUGCAAGUCGAACGAAGCGCUUAAACGGAUUUCUUCGGAAUGAAGUUUUUGCGACUGAGUGGCGGACGGGUGAGUAACGCGUGGGUAACCUGCCUCAUACAGGGGGAUAACAGUUAGAAAUGACUGCUAAUACCGCAUAAGCGCACAGUGCUGCAUGGCACAGUGUGAAAAACUCCGGUGGUAUGAGAUGGACCCGCGUCUGAUUAGCUAGUUGGUGGGGUAACGGCCUACCAAGGCGACGAUCAGUAGCCGGCCUGAGAGGGUGAACGGCCACAUUGGGACUGAGACACGGCCCAAACUCCUACGGGAGGCAGCAGUGGGGAAUAUUGCACAAUGGGGGAAACCCUGAUGCAGCGACGCCGCGUGAGCGAAGAAGUAUUUCGGUAUGUAAAGCUCUAUCAGCAGGGAAGAAAAUGACGGUACCUGACUAAGAAGCACCGGCUAAAUACGUGCCAGCAGCCGCGGUAAUACGUAUGGUGCAAGCGUUAUCCGGAUUUACUGGGUGUAAAGGGAGCGUAGACGGUUGUGUAAGUCUGAUGUGAAAGCCCGGGGCUCAACCCCGGGACUGCAUUGGAAACUAUGUAACUAGAGUGUCGGAGAGGUAAGCGGAAUUCCUAGUGUAGCGGUGAAAUGCGUAGAUAUUAGGAGGAACACCAGUGGCGAAGGCGGCUUACUGGACGAUCACUGACGUUGAGGCUCGAAAGCGUGGGGAGCAAACAGG
rnacentral:rRNA from 1 species